GUUAUACUUAUGAUUACAUUGCCAAAGCAAAGCACUGUUGGAGAUGUUAUUAGUGAUCUCAAGACAAAGGUUAAGUUAUCUCAUGAAAAUGCUGAGCUUUGACUUCUGGGAAUAUCUAAUUAACCACAAGAUUUACAAGAUAUUCUCUCUAGAUGAAAAAAAUUGAGAAUCUCAAUGAUCAAUAUUGGACAUUACAGGAUGAGGAAGUUUGUGCUAAAAACUAUGUGUACAAUAUGCGGUCUUAAUAAUAUUUUCUUUUUUCUUUCUUUAUCGGUAUGCCCAUUAUUUGGAGGUUAAAAGGAACCCUUUGGUUCCUAAUUAUCUACCUUUCUC